rnacentral:rRNA from 1 species
GACGAACGCUGGCGGCGUGCCUAAUACAUGCAAGUAGGACGCAGUUGCGAACGGGUGAGUAACGCGUAGGUAACUACCUAUUAGAGGGGGAUAACUAUUGGAAACGAUAGCUAAUACCGCAUACUAGUAGAUGGACCUGCGUUUUAUUAGCUAGUAGGUAGGGUAAUGGCCUACCUAGGCCACGAUACAUAGCCGACCUGAGUGGGGGAUCGGCCAAACGGGGACUGAGACACGGCCCAGACUCCUACGGGAGGCAGCAGGAGGGAAUCUGCGGCAAUGGGGGGAACCCUGACCGAGCAACGCCGCGUGAGUGAAGAAGGUUUUCGGAUCGUAAAGCUCUGGUGUUAAGGAAGCGGUACCGGAAGAGAAAGCCACGGCUAACUACGUGCCAGCAGCCGCGGUAAUAC